rnacentral:rRNA from 1 species
UACGAAGGGGGCUAGCGUUGUUCGGAAUACUGGGCGUAAAGCGUGCGCAGGCGGCUUCUCAAGUCAGGGGUGAAAGCCCAGAGCUCAACUCUGGAAUUGCCUUUGAGACUGAGUGGCUUGAGUACGAGAGAGGUGAGUGGAAUUCCCAGUGUAGAGGUGAAAUUCGUAGAUAUUGGGAAGAACACCGGUGGCGAAGGCGGCUACACUGGCUCGUAACUGACGCUCAUGCACGACAGCGUGGGGAUCAAACAGG